CCUCUUUCUUUUCUUCUUCUUCCUCCUCCUCUUCUGGAGGAUCACCCGGCAUAGGAGGUGGCAAGGGAGUUUUCAUGGGACUGAAUUGAGGAAAGAUAUCUGGUCUUCGUCCGGGCUUCGGUCUUUCCCAUUCCUGCCAAUAAACAUGUUUCAUCAAAAUGCCUAGCAGCUUUGAUGACAUUAUUCUAGAAAGCAAAAUGCAGUAUAGGCUCAAAUUUUACACUUCCUAUAGUACACGAUGCAAAAAGGUUAUUGAUUAGGACAUCGAAAUUUCGAGAAUGACAUUGCCAAGGGCUUUUAGAAGCUCCUAGAAAUUACCACUAAAUGAAAGGAUCAAAAUGGUAUUGCAUCUUUAUAUCUUUGGUACCAGAUUCCUGACAUACUAAGGUUAGCUACUUGGAAGAGACGGUACACCUCUUAAUUGGAAUAUGAAUAACUACGAUCAAUUCCUGUCUCCCUUUCUCUCCCAAGACAGCUAAAACUUUACUCAUUGGAUAUCAUUCCACGUACUGGAGCUGGAAAGAGGAAAGAGGGGAGACUCAAACUACAACCAAUAAUUAACUUUCUGUGAGGUUUCAUAGAGCAAUGGUCACUGCUUAUGGACCCAAACCUGGGUGAUCUAUCCAUGACUAUAAAAAAUUAUCCCUUUUUUCUAGCACUUUCUACGCCAUCAAUGAUUAGAUUUUGAAAGACCGAUUCACUCUCCACUACUUUCUGAUGAAUGAUUGACAGAAAAAGAUUGUCUUGGCUUCAAAAGUUGGUUAUGUAGGCCGACAAUCUUUCUUCUAGGUUGUUUCAACAGGCCAAAUAGCAGAUAAAUACUAUGCCUGAGAUUGCAAGGAGAACCACUCCUCUUAAAAGCUGACCAAUCAAACAAAGGGGCUAACUUUAUUAUGAGGAUAGAAAAUUUGGUUUCACUCCGGGUACAAUUUCAGAAAUUUCAUUCUCUUUUUGACCAUAUAAAAUCGAAAUUGGUAACUUGAUAGUUUUGAGUGUAGUGCACAAUUUUGAUCAUCAAAACAGCAACAAUCAUUCACACUUAAAUAACCAUUAAAUACCCCUACCUUGUGGAGGUAGAGAGAGUGGUUUCAGAGGACCCUCGGCUCAAUUGCAACAAAUCAAAGUAGGUUUAGAAAGAAAAAACGAUAAUGAAGAAAACAUAGCAACUAAUAAGUAAACAGUAAUAACAACAAAAUAGUGCGAUAAUCGAACCACAGCAAACAACAAAUGAUGAUAGAAAGACACUACAAGUAAAAGUCUAAUACUACGCCAGACACCACCCAGCUUAAACCCGUCGAAAAGCAAGACAACACCCCACUACUAAUCUGCUAAGUUGAAGUUGCACCAUAGGUUUUAACAGUACACAUUGCAAUUUUCUAUGCUAUUUUCUGAUCGGAUUUGGCACAAUUCAAAUCAUCCAAAUAGCAACAACAGCUCCAACUUAAACAACCAAAAACCAUAUCUAGAUUAAACAAGCUAUCAUUACAACUUCUACAUAAUACAUUUUACUCUUAGCACACACUAAGCUGCAGUUCAGAAUAGCUAAUAGAAGAACACAUCUACAAUUAAAGUUAAAUAACCAGAAACAAAAACGAGUUUUCGAAGCUUACGAUAGGGAAGUCGAGAGGUGAGCGUUGAGUCUUCUUCUCUUCUUCCGGUGCCAUACGCACUAUUUGUGAACUCCUUCUAGAAUAACACAGAGAUGUCGGUCUCAAAAACGGCAUAAAAGCAACGGUGUGUGGCGGCCGAGAGAAUGAGCAAGUCAAAAGGACACUACACGAAGGUGACGACGACGACGACGAUGUUGAGGAUAAAGAACCGGAGCGGUUUAACAUCGCCACCGUACAUGGCGGCGGAGAAGAUAACGCCGGCACGAAAGACGAUAACGCCAUUGG
rnacentral:lncRNA from 1 species